UACAGAGGGCUGCGAAACCGCAAGGUGGAGCGAAUCUCAAAAAGCCGGUCUCAGUUCGGAUUGGGGUCUGCAACUCGACCCCAUGAAGUCGGAGUCGCUAGUAAUCGCGAAUCAGCAACGUCGCGGUGAAUACGUUCCCGGGCCUUGUACACACCGCCCGUCACGUCACGAAAGUUGGCAACACCCGAAGCCGGUGGCCUAACCCGUCAGGGAGGGAGCCGUCGAAGGUGGGGCUGGCGAUUGGGACGAAGUCGUAACAAGGUAGCCGUACCGGAAGGUGCGGCUGGAUCACCUCCUUU
rnacentral:rRNA from 1 species